rnacentral:rRNA from 1 species
AGAGUUUGAUCCUGGCUCAGGAUGAACGCUGGCGGCGUGCUUAACACAUGCAAGUCGAACGAAGCACUUUAAUUGAUUUCUUCGGAAUGAAGUUUUUGUGACUGAGUGGCGGACGGGUGAGUAACGCGUGGGUAACCUGCCUCAUACAGGGGGAUAACAGUUGGAAACGACUGCUAAUACCGCAUAAGCGCACAGGAUUGCAUGAUCCAGUGUGAAAAACUCCGGUGGUAUGAGAUGGACCCGCGUCUGAUUAGCCAGUUGGCGGGGUAACGGCCCACCAAAGCGACGAUCAGUAGCCGACCUGAGAGGGUGACCGGCCACAUUGGGACUGAGACACGGCCCAAACUCCUACGGGAGGCAGCAGUGGGGAAUAUUGCACAAUGGGGGAAACCCUGAUGCAGCGACGCCGCGUGAGCGAAGAAGUAUUUCGGUAUGUAAAGCUCUAUCAGCAGGGAAGAAGAAUGACGGUACCUGACUAAGAAGCACCGGCUAAAUACGUGCCAGCAGCCGCGGUAAUACGUAUGGUGCAAGCGUUAUCCGGAUUUACUGGGUGUAAAGGGAGCGCAGGCGGUACGGCAAGUCUGAUGUGAAAUCCCGGGGCUCAACCCCGGUACUGCAUUGGAAACUGUCGGACUAGAGUGUCGGAGGGGUAAGUGGAAUUCCUAGUGUAGCGGUGAAAUGCAUAGAUAUUAGGAGGAACACCAGUGGCGAAGGCGGCUUACUGGACGAUUACUGACGCUGAGGCUCGAAAGCGUGGGGAGCAAACAGGAUUAGAUACCCUGGUAGUCCGCGCCGUAAACGAUGAAUACUAGGUGUCGGGGAGCAUUGCUCUUCGGUGCCGCAGCAAACGCAAUAAGUAUUCCACCUGGGGAGUACGCUCGCAAGACUGAAACUCAAAGGAAUUGACGGGGGCCCGCACAAGCGGUGGAGCAUGUGGUUUAAUUCGAAGCAACGCGAAGAACCUUACCAGGUCUUGACAUCUUCUGACAAUUCCAGAGAUGGAACGUUCCCUUCGGGGACAGAAUGACAGGUGGUGCAUGGUUGUCGUCAGCUCGUGUCGUGAGAUGUUGGGUUAAGUCCCGCAACGAGCGCAACCCUUAUUGUCAGUUGCCAUCAUUAAGUUGGGCACUCUGGCGAGACUGCCGGUGACAAACCGGAGGAAGGUGGGGAUGACGUCAAAUCAUCAUGCCCCUUAUGACCUGGGCUACACACGUGCUACAAUGGACGGUACAACGAGUCGCUAACUCGCGAGGGCAAGCUAAUCUCUUAAAGCCGUUCUCAGUUCGGAUUGCAGGCUGCAACUCGCCUGCAUGAAGUCGGAAUCGCUAGUAAUCGCGAAUCAGCAUGUCGCGGUGAAUACGUUCCCGGGCCUUGUACACACCGCCCGUCACACCAUGAGAGUUUGUAACACCCAAAGUCGGUGGGGUAACCUUUUGGAGCCAGCCGCCUAAGGUGGGACAGAUGAUUGGGGUGAAGUCGUAACAAGGUA